UAUGUCAACUGCCCACCUCUUUUAUGCUGCCUUCAUCGUGCAGUAUGUAUGGCCACGCCUGGCACAUUACCUGCUUGGACGUAUUUGUCAUGACAUCAACUGACAGA
rnacentral:ribozyme from 1 species